rnacentral:lncRNA from 1 species
CAGGAGAAUCGGGCCAAGGUUGUUCGGAUUUAACAGCCGUUGGGAGAAUUAAUUGUGGAAAGAUAUCAUUACUGUGGAGAAUUUCGGAGCAUUAAUGAUUUUAUACUCUGAAAUUGGGGGGCAUGUGUUGACACCGUUUUUGGACACAUAUCUUUGGAUACGCACCUGGAGUUAAUAAAGCAUAGAUCGGCAGAUUGGGUGAUGGUGGC